GAUGAACGCUGGCGGCGUGCCUAAUACAUGCAAGUCGAACGCUUCACUUCGGUGAAGAGUGGCGAACGGGUGAGUAAUACAUAAGUAACCUGGCAUCUACAGGGGGAUAACUGAUGGAAACGUCAGCUAAGACCGCAUAGGUGUAGAGAUCGCAUGAACUCUAUAUGAAAAGUGCUACGGGACUGGUGGAUGAUGGACUUAUGGCGCAUUAGCUUGUUGGUAGGGUAACGGCCUACCAAGGCGACGAUGCGUAGCCGACCUGAGAGGGUGACCGGCCACACUGGGACUGAGACACGGCCCAGACUCCUACGGGAGGCAGCAGUAGGGAAUUUUCGGCAAUGGGGGAAACCCUGACCGAGCAACGCCGCGUGAAGGAAGAAGUAAUUCGUUAUGUAAACUUCUGUCAUAGAGGAAGAACGGUGGAUAUAGGGAAUGAUAUCCAAGUGACGGUACUCUAUAAGAAAGCCA
rnacentral:rRNA from 1 species